AACCAAGGCGGUUAAGUUAUAUUCAUUACGGUAAAAAGACAGUUAAGUAUUUAUUAAAAAGCUUAUUUAGUAUUUAUAGAAAGGUAGAAUUUGUAUAUAAAUAUAUAAUUUAAAUAUAGCUUAUGUAUUGAAGCUGUGAUAGCCUUGAGGGAAACUGGGAUUAGAUACCCCAUUAUUCUUGGUUGUAAAUAAAUAAAGAUUUACCAGAGUACUACGAAUUUAAAAAUUUAAAACUCAAAGGGCUUGGCGGUGUUUUAGACCUUUCAGGGGAACCUGUCUCAUAAUCGACAAUCCGCGUUACACCUAACCUUUUUUUGCUCGCAGUAUGUAUACCGUCGUCGUCAGGUAACUUUUAAAAAAUAAGAAGUUAGCAAGAAAACUACAUUAGUUCAAACGUCAGAUCAAGGUGCAGCCUAUAUAAAGGUGAGGAUGGGUUACAAUUAUAAAAUCAUAACUACGAAAUAAUUAUUUGAAAGAAUAACUAUGAAGGAGGACUUGAAAGUAAAGUGGUAUAUAUAAACAUUUUGAAUAAGGCUCUGAAACGUGC
rnacentral:rRNA from 1 species